rnacentral:lncRNA from 1 species
AGAUCAAGAUUGACGAGACAGAGAUUCAGGCAGCAAAGGUGCGUCGCCAUCUUUCUUCAAAGGGGGUUUCAUGAUUUUCCUGAAACGAGCCUGCAGACUAAAAAAAGAAAAAGAAAACAUUUCAGCCUCCAUUUCACGAUAUUCAGAGCAUGAAGUUCUAGACAGUGAUCAAUCAAGCUUAAUAACUAACCCACCGAGGCGUUUUGUUUCAGUGGAUGGCGCUGGAGGAGUUCGUGAAGCAGCCCUUCAUCCAGGAAGACCACAUGUUCCAGAAGAUCAUGGACAUCUGCAUCCAGCGCCUCCGCAAGUGCUACUGUGGCCUGACGCCGCACCACGUCGUCUCCAAGUUCGACGACAGAACGUCCACGCUCUACUACAAUGUCGCCGAGCCUGAGGACGUCAACUGCAGCGCCACCUGAUAUAUGAUGGGAGAUUGGGAGGGAUAGUCUAGCUUUUGCUGCGCAAAGUUUCAUGAUGCAGCAAUGGCGAUUGCUGAGAGUGAAAUGCUAGCUAGUACGUAGCAGAUUGCGCAAGGCAAUAACAGUGUUGCCAAGCCUGUACAUAUACGUGUAGGGCAUAACAAGCGAGAGCUGUAUAUCGGUAGCUCUGCUCUGUCGUGUGUUCUGAUAAACGAUGGAGCCGUGUUUGAUCGUUUGCGACUUGCGAAACGAAUUCUGCAUCGAAUCAAACGCGGUACUCGAUCGCCCUCACCAUCUGUCCUCUUGGCCAUCCUCGCCGCUAUGCACUAGAGCCGAACCUCACCAUGCUAACCAUUUUUUGUUUGUUUUGGUAAAACCGAUUAUGUGGCAUCACGAUUCACGACUACCUAUAAUACAACAAAAGAACACUCACAAGAGACUCCCAUCGUGCCAGCGUUAGACAAAACAGAAAGCCUAACAAAUACUACCUUGUCUCUCAGUAAUUAGGAUCAUAGGAUGGACUGAUAUGAUGGAGUAGUUUACUUAUUAUUAUUUUUAGUUAGUGACUGGCUGUCUCUUUUGGAUGACGCCAAGUCUAAAAGCAAUCUCGCUAUUUCCUGAAGAAAAGGCUGAGGAGAGAUAGAGGGGUUAAGAACCUACAACUACAAUACUAAGUACUUCAUCUAUUCCAAAUUAUAAGUUAUUCCAAAAUUCUUGAAGAGUCAAAGCAUCUCAAGUUUGACCAAAUUUAUAUGAGAGGAUUAUAACAUUUAUGAUAUCAACUAAGUAUCAUUAUGUUCGUAAUUACUUAUAUUUUCAGAAUAUAUCUAUUUGAUGCCACAAAACGUUAUAAUUUUUUUAUAAUUUUGGUCAAACUUAAGAUGCUUUGACUCUCUAAGAUUUUUGGAAUGAUUGGUAAUUUGGGAUGGAGUAUUUUGGUAUAAAUUUGAAAAAAAAAAUUUACGAUGGUUGGAAAAAAUAUAAACCAUCCAUUGAGAGAUCUAACGGUGUAAAAAUAGAAGGUACUCAUAUGAAAGUACUCAGAAGUACCAAAUUGGUGGGGACAGUACUAAAAUAUGUGAGCCUAUACUAGGUGGACCAUUCCUUGAUCUUUUCAAUAUUUAUUUUUUUGUUUGAGGUUAAAUCGAUAAUUUUAGUUUCUUGAUUGAAAGGCAAAACUAAGAUUUUUCAUUCCACUCGGUCUCAAUCUCUGAACCCAUACGGAUUCUCCUUUCUUCUUCCCAUGGCUAAGAGGCUGGAGCACCUGGACCAGCGCCGUCAUCGCUGCCGCCGGUUGCGCUGCCAACACUAGGGGAUUGAACCUAGGUGCUUGAGCUAAGAAGUUAGCUUCCUAACCAGUUGGACUACAAUGAAGUUGUGUCAACUAUUCUAGAACAAUAAUACUUGUUCUAACAGCUUGGCGCCAAUGACAACAGCAUCAAGCUUAGCGCCAAUAAUAGUGGUGCUAGUAACCUUAGCGCCAAUGGUGAUGGCGCCAAGCUGAGGAUCUAUUUUAUAAAAAUAUUUUGUGAAGGAUAUAUUUGAAAAAUCUUUUUUAAAAAGGACUAAGAAAUAAAAAAGACGAAUGAGCAUCAUCGACACCUCACAAAAUAUCGUGGCGGAUCCAAAAUUUGAUUUUUUUAGAAGUGGUUUAUUAGAAAUUAUUGGAGAUAAUCUUUUUAUCUCUCAAUAUUAUUUUAAUAAGAGAUAAAAAUAUCAUAUUUUUAGAAAACAAAAUAGGAUACUCUUAGAAAUCCUCACUCCCAUUUGCCCUAAUUCCGAUAUGGCUAGGGGUGCAAAGGGGUAACCUUUAGGUGCACCUCCAAACCUCUUUAGUUCAAAUAUUUGUACUAUUUUUUAAUUUUUUUGGAGAAGUAGUAUAAAUAUUUGAACUAAAGAGGUUUAGAGGUGCACCUAAUCAUCACUCAUUUGCACCCUUAGAUACGACAGCCUAUAUUAGGGGGGCGUUUAGUUCCAUUUUCAUUCCAAAAAAUUCUGAGUUUUGGUCUAUUAUUUUGUAUAAUAAAAUUAAACAUCAUGCAAAAAAUUUGACAAAAUAAUUGUCAUUCUUCAUUUUAGAUUUUGGCUUCAAGAGCUAAAAAAACUCAAAAGAGUCUCAAAAGACCGUAAUGAGAGCAAUAAAUUCUGUAUUUUGAAUAGAACUAAACAUAAUCCUGAAAAUUUUAACAUUUUAUAUUUCAUCAUUCUAAAUUAAUUAGCAUUUUGUAUUUUGUAUUUCAUCAUUCUACUAGCAUAUGCCCGUGCGUUGCUACGAGAGUAAAAUUUUAAUGCAACAAUGAUAUAAAAAAAACUAUGUUGAGUCAAAAUAUAUAGACAAACAUACUAUUAUGAUCCACUUGCAAAUAAAAAAGCUCAAUUUUUAAGAAAAAUCAUAAAUUCGUCAUAUGUAUUCAUCAAUAUAUACUAUUUUUUAAAAAAAAUUCUUGACACGCAAUUUAACAUCAAUUCAUCGAAUAGGAAACUAUUUUCUUUUAAAUUGGAAAGAGAACAUCCAAUCGUUUGACGGGUAUAAGGUUAUAGGAGUUAAAAAAUCCUCUUUCCAGCAUAUUGCUCCAACACAAUUUCUGCAUCUAUGGUAUACUUUUGGAACCCCGUAUAAUAAGUCUGGUACCAUUACAAAGUCUAUUUGUAAGAUCAAUGUUCCUAAGCAAUAUGACCAACAACUAAUCUUUAUAUAUUAAUCAUAUCAACCCAUUCGUAAUAUAGCUUGAGAUAGAAAAAUACCCCUCUUAUUUUCAUUUUUUUCUUUUCUAAUUUAUUCUCUUCCCUCUCCAUUUUUUCAUUCUCUCCCCGCCGUAUCCUCUCAACACAACCACGCCGUGCCGCACGACACGAAGCCGCUACCGCCGCCGCCCUCCAGGACCCGCUUUCGGCCGUCGGCGUCCACCACAUUGCGACCCAACCCUCUGCAACCCUCUGCCACGGCUACGGUGCACUCCACACCAACCUGGUCGUCCCUUCUCAGGGGAUCUAGGGCCGGUGAAGCCCACGACCACCAGCUCCCCUCCCAUAGUCGUCGUCUGCCCUGGCCCACCCUGGUGACUCACCGUGUUGCACCAGCCAUGCCCGCCGCACUGGGGAUGUCGUGCUCGAGUUACCAUCUCCAUCGUCGAGAAGGUUCGUUACAUUUGCUUUGUGUGUUGUUCCGUAGCUAGGUUGUGUGUUGUGUUUGGGUGAAGGAAGUGGGUGAUGCGAUACUAUCACUGAUGUGUCAAUAGCUGCGAGUUCCCCAUUGCCAUCUACGGCUGUACGAACUUGCUAAACCUCUUUUUUUUCUUUUAUUAUGCGGCUAUCAAACCACGGAAUUUCAGCUUGUGUUGCUGCUAAGAAAAUUAGAGGUUUAGUCAACUGCGUGUGUUGCUUAGCGAUUUACCGCCACUAACUCUAUUCCUCUUGAUAUCAUAAGUGAAAAUGGAGUAGUGGAUGUGCAUCGUCUUUGUUUUAUGCUCCCAGUUUAGAGUCUUGGAUUUCUGAGAGUUGGACAAAGAUGCCAAGUACAUAUAAUUCGUAGUAGCUCCGUGGGAAUGGCUAUUGCCUCAGUAUUCUAGUGAUUCCAUUGUUCAUGGCAAGUAGUUUUUCAUUCUAUUAAUUGUCAUUCGGGACCUUGAGAUUAUGCAAGUCCUCGAGACUUUUAUAUAGACUGACCUGAGAUUGAGUUGUGAAUGAUCUGUUGAUAUUGAUUCAGUUACUUGCACGAGAUAUGAAGAAAGUUGUCUUACUAAUAUUAGUUUUCUGGUUUCUGUAAACACUCAUUAUAGAUUCAAACAUGAGCAUAAGUCGAAGGUGAACUUGAGGUGUAUUUGUGGCUCCACUGAUAUUCCACAUGUGAUGUCUUUUUGGACUGGAGAAAGUAGUUGUUAUUUUCUUCUUAUUUUGGGACCUUUAGCAGUUGAAGUCUAGAAACUAUUUCUAUUAAGAAUCCAUAAUCUGCAUCAUCAUGUUCCAUUCUUUUUUGUUAACAGGACAAGCAUAUGGCUACCCUCGUUAAAGAUAGGUUUGGAUUUACAGAGCAGUUGAAGGUAGCUGUUAUGUCCAUCAACACAGUCAAAGUAAAAUUUGCCGCCUUGUUUAGUUCUCAAAAAAUUUCAAGAUUCCUCGUCACAUCGAAUCUUGCGGCACAUGCAUGGAGUAUUAAAUUUAGACGAAAGUAAAAACUAAUUACCUGUAAAUCGUGAGAUGAACCUUUUGACCCUAAUUAGUCUAUGAUUGUAUAAUAUUUGUCACAAACAAACGAAAGUGCUACAGUACCCAAAAUCCAAAAUUUUUGCCAACUAAACAAGGCAUUCACAGCAGAAGCAACCUAGGUCCUCUCCCGACGUGGGUGGCUGGGGCCUGCUCCCAUCCGGCCAAGCAGCUGCGUAUGCAGGUAAGCACUUGAGUGAUUGGAUCUGCUCUCUCUUGCUCAGCUGCUGUAUUAGCUUGCAUCCUCUAUACCGCUAGUCUACAAAUAUUUCUUCUUGCCUGAAUGCCUUCUAUAUUGGUACGUACUACUAAAUGCUAUGCUAAUAUUGUUUGAUUGUCUGAAUCCCUGAAUUAAAUAGUGUCUGUUAUUUGGUCACUUGCAUGCCCUUGAGUGGACAGCUCAGACAGAUCAUGUGGUGAUAUAGAACAGAGGCAUUUGAGCUCAGCGCAUAUGUACUCCUGCAAUUUGCUACAGCUUUCUUGCCUGCAAGGCCAGGUAGGAGAAAGCAGGAGACCUUCAGAUGCUAGCUUGCGGCUGAUGUGUAUCCAUCCAUUCAAAUCAAGCAUCAUUUGCUAUAUCGAGCCUAUUAGGAGCUCUCCUGAAUAUAGGAUCUGAGCCAGCGACAGCAGAGGCGGUCCGUUGUUGCACCGCACAUGAGGCCAGUCGCCGGCGGAUCCUGAGUCUGGACCGAUCGAUCAUGUGUGUUGGCCUGUUGGGGGAUCAGUGUGCCGAGUCGCGCCGUCCCCCAUGCCUCUAGCUUCCUCUACUGCUAGACCUAGACGCUGAGGAAGCGAACGCAUGCCUUGCCCUGCUUUUGCCUCUGCCCAGAUUGAUCGGCCUAGACGCUGGUGUAUACUAUACAGUGGUACGCGGGACACGUCUUUUCCGGCCGGCCGGUAUGCACGCGCUCCAUCAUCGAUCUCGUGCAUCCAUUACAGGCGGCACAACGCGACGUUGGGCUAGGCCUUGUUUACUUGCAUCUCAAAAUCCAAAAAUUUUUAAGAUUCUCCAUCACAUCAAAUCUUUAGACGUAUGCAUAGAGUAUUAAAUAUAGAUGAAAAUAAAAACUAAUUCCACAGUUGGUCAGAAUUUACGAGACGAAUCUUUUGAGUCUAAUUAGUCCAUAGUUGGAUAAUAAUUAUCACAAACAAACGAAAGUGCUACAGUGUCGCAGAAUAUUUUCCUUGCGGAACUAAACACGGCCUUACCUUUGCUAUUGCUUGCAGCACCAAUCCCUGGCCCGCUGGCCCUGAUCUCUCCUCUCGCACGAGCUAGCUUGUGCCGAGUACCGACGUGACACUACGGCGGCGAGCUUGCAUCUGCAUGUGACCUUGCCAUGCCUCUCUGCCUACCUAGACAUAUUAUACGCCAGGCAGUAUGUACACGUCAACGGAUAGUCUUGUGGUCUUGAUUCGAC